rnacentral:rRNA from 1 species
UGACCAAGCGUCUCUGGGUCAGCCCAGGGCUGGCCACCGAGCCCCUGUCUCCGGACAGGGAUGACUAUCGUGGCAGCCCCGUGGUGGCAGCUCCGCCUGCCAGGACCUGGAGUUUG